GAUGACCAUAGAUCGGAGUCUGGUAGCUGCGAUGAGCAGCGGGAUGGUUGUGGCAACGACACCCCGGGCGCAGCCACUGUCGGAGAUGAUUCCGACUUGGACGGGUCAUCCUCGACCGCUCUACCCGGAGAUCCACCCGCGCCAACAUCACGCAUCUCCUUGAAGCAUGCAGUCAGUGUAAUUCAGACUUUUGAUGACUACAAGAAGUGGUUAGUAGAGCAGAUUGGGUUUGGAGGUAUGCUGAAGCUGCCAGCACUGCAGAAGCUGAGUCUGAAGACCAGCGCGUGGAUUAUGAGUAGAGUUAGUGUCAGCCGCAGGGAGAUUAAAUUGAGGGACAACAAGGUUCUUAAGUUUUACCCUGAGGAUUUCUAUAAGGUUUUUGGGAUUCCAUGCGGCCACCAUAGUGUGAAGGGUAGGGAUGCAAACAUCAAUCCUGAGGCUAUUCAUUUUAUAAAGACAACACUCCAGAUGAACAAAACUGGAGUACGCAGCUUGAGAGCAGCUAAAGAUUUUCUGAUGUGUGACAUCAAUGAGAAUUCAAGCAAACUAGAGAAAGAUUGUUUCCAGAUCGCAUUUGUGAUCUUUGCGAUGGGUCAUGUGCUAGUUCCAACCACGUAGCAUAACUACACGACCAUUGACUUUUGGGGAGCCAUAGCAAACACCGAACCAAUCGAUCAAUUUAAUUGGUGUGAGUAUGUCCUUGAGCACCUUUUCGAUGCAGUCAAGAAUCUUAAGAGAGACAUGAUGGCCAACAAUUUAUCGACCAACCUAACUGGCCGGUUGUCAUCUUUUUUUUCAGGCAAGUUGAUUUUUUUUCCAGAUUUUUGCAAAUGUUUUAGGUCUGUUUCAUUAUGCAAGCAUUUAUGUAUACACAUUUUGUCUGCCAACGUCGUCGUUGUUUUGCAAGUCUUUUUGCUUGACAAGCUUGAUCUUGGCAUUUUCAACAAGUCACACAGUGUGCUCCCUAGGAUAUCCGAAUUUGACCCCGAGUCCUUCCGUCGAAUGCUUGCCAUGGCUGCUGACCCGGUCAAAGGAACAACCUCCUACGCGCAUGCCAAUGUAAAGAUGAGUUUUUACUUAUUUUCUGCCUGA
rnacentral:rRNA from 1 species